UACGGGGGGGGCAAGCGUUGUUCGGAAUUACUGGGCGUAAAGGGCUCGUAGGUGGCCAACUAAGUCGGACGUGAAAUCCCUCGGCUUAACCGAGGAACUGCCGUCCAAACUGCUUAGCUUGAGACCGGGAGAGGUGAGUGGAAUUCCCAGUGUAGCGGUGAAAUGCGUAGAUAUUGGGAGGAACACCAGUGGCGAAGGCGGCUCACUGGACCGGUACUGACGCUGAUGCGCGAAAGCGUGGGGAGCAAACGGG
rnacentral:rRNA from 1 species